AAGCUUGCUUCUAUGACGUUAGCGGCGGACGGGUGAGUAACACGUGGGCAACCUGCCUGUAAGACUGGGAUAACUUCGGGAAACCGAAGCUAAUACCGGAUAGGAUCUUCUCCUUCAUGGGAGAUGAUUGAAAGAUGGUUUCGGCUAUCACUUACAGAUGGGCCCGCGGUGCAUUAGCUAGUUGGUGAGGUAACGGCUCACCAAGGCAACGAUGCAUAGCCGACCUGAGAGGGUGAUCGGCCACACUGGGACUGAGACACGGCCCAGACUCCUACGGGAGGCAGCAGUAGGGAAUCUUCCGCAAUGGACGAAAGUCUGACGGAGCAACGCCGCGUGAGUGAUGAAGGCUUUCGGGUCGUAAAACUCUGUUGUUAGGGAAGAACAAGUACAAGAGUAACUGCUCGUACCUUGACGGUACCUAACCAGAAAGCCACGGCUAACUACGUGCCAGCAGCCGCGGUAAUACGUAGGUGGCAAGCGUUAUCCGGAAUUAUUGGGCGUAAAGCGCGCGCAGGCGGUUUCUUAAGUCUGAUGUGAAAGCCCACGGCUCAACCGUGGAGGGUCAUUGGAAACUGGGGAACUUGANUGCAGAANAGAAAAGCGGAAUUCCACGUGUAGCGGUGAAAUGCGUAGAGAUGUGGAGGAACACCAGUGGC
rnacentral:rRNA from 1 species